CGGUGCCAGCAGCCGCGGUAAUUCCAGCUCCAAUAGCGUAUAUUAAAGUUGUUGCAGUUAAAAAGCUCGUAGUUGAAUUUCGGGAUCAAUACGUUGGUCGUGCUUUCGGGUACGUACUGGCGUCGUUGGUUUCUCUCUUCUGACGAACCAUGAUGUCAUUAGUUUGGUGUUAUGGGGAGUUAGGACUGUUACUUGAAAAAAUUAGAGUGUUUAAAGCAGGCAUUAGCUUGAAUACAUUAGCAUGGAAUAAUGAAAUAGGACGUUUGAUCCUAUUUUGUUGGUUUACUAGGAUCGACGUAAUGAUUAAUAGGGAUAGUUGGGGGCAUUAGUAUUCAAUUGUCAGAGGUGAAAUUCUUGGAUUUAUUGAAGACUAACUACUGCGAAAGCAUUUGCCAAGGAUGUUUUCAUUAAUCAAGAACGAAAGUUAGGGGAUCGAAGACGAUCAGAUACCGUCGUAGUCUUAACCAUAAACUAUGCCGACUAGGGAUCGGAUGAUGUUAAUUUUUUAAUGACUCAUUCGGCACCUUACG
rnacentral:rRNA from 1 species